UCUUUAAGUCGUUCGAGAUCGUAUUGUGUGCUGGGAUCGUCAUCGUUUUUGCCGCGGAGUCUUUCCAUUUCAUUAAUUGUUGAUCGGUGGCUGCUUAUGCGUUUUUUCAGUUGGGUUGUGGUUAACCCGACAUAGCUCGCUUCGCAAUCGUUGCAGGGAAUCCUGUAGGUCACGUUAUGUCGCAUCUCUGGAGAUUGACACAACAGUAGCUAGUAAAUAGGACAGGAAUGCUGAUGCCGAAGCUUGUAUGACAAAAACGAUUUAUGUUCUGAUUCCCUGAUGAAGGUGCAAUAUACACCGAAACGUUGGUGAAAGAGCGAUAUUAAUUCGUUUUAUUGCUGAAAGACUGCGAAGCCGAAAAACACCCCCUGAUAAAAUCCCU